GGGCAGGUAUGCAAGCGGUUAAAGCGGAGUCCGGAAAACUCGCAAUUAUCAACUUGAAGCGCUACGUGGUUGAUAAUGUUCGAUGGUUCGAAUCCAUCCUUGCCCACCA
rnacentral:tRNA from 1 species